UACAGAGGGGGCAAGCGUUAUUCGGAAUUAUUGGGCGUAAAGGGCGCGUAGGCGGACUUUCAAGUCUGGGGUGAAAUCCCGCGGCUCAACCGUGGAACGGCCUCAGAUACUGACGGUCUCGAGGGAGGUAGGGGCAUGCGGAACUGUAGGUGGAGCGGUGAAAUGCGUUGAUAUCUACAGGAACUCCGGUGGCGAAAGCGGCGUGCUGGACCUCUUCUGACGCUGAGGCGCGAAAGCUAGGGGAGCAAACGGG
rnacentral:rRNA from 1 species